UACGUAAAAGACUAGUGUUAUUCAUCUUCAAUAGGUUUAAAGGGUACCUAGACGGUAAUAUUAGCUCAAAACAGAGUACAAUAUUACUAGAGUUUUCUAUGAGAUGGGGAGUAUUCAUAGAGUAGAGAUGAAAUUUUUUGAUACUAUUAGGACUUGAUAAUAGCGAAAGCAACCUUUUAUGUAAUAACUGACGUUUGAGGGACGAAGGCCUGGGUAACGAACAGG
rnacentral:rRNA from 1 species